rnacentral:rRNA from 1 species
AGGGAAUCUUCGGCAAUGGACGGAAGUCUGACCGAGCAACGCCGCGUGAGUGAAGAAGGUUUUCGGAUCGUAAAGCUCUGUUGUAAGAGAAGAACGAGUGUGAGAGUGGAAAGUCCACACUGUGACGGUAUCUUACCAGAAAGGGACGGCUAACUACGUGCCAGCAGCCGCGGUAAUACGUAGGUUCCGAGCGUUGUCCGGAUUUAUUGGGCGUAAAGCGAGCGCAGGCGGUUAGAUAAGUCUGAAGUUAAAGGCUGUGGCUUAACCAUAGUACGCUUUGGAAACUGUUUAACUUGAGUGCAAGAGGGGAGAGUGGAAUUCCAUGUGUAGCGGUGAAAUGCGUAGAUAUAUGGAGGAACACCGGUGGCGAAAGCGGCUCUCUGGCUUGUAACUGACGCUGAGGCUCGAAAGCGUGGGGAGCAAACAGGAUUAGAUACCCUGGUAGUCCACGCUGUAAACGAUGAGUGCUAGGUGUUAGACCCUUUCCGGGGUUUAGUGCCGUAGCUAACGCAUUAAGCACUCCGCCUGGGGAGUACGACCGCAAGGUUG